CGAGUCUUUCCGGUGGGGCUGCCCAGCCGGGUCCGCCCUCCCCAGCCUCCCGGAACCCGCCCGGAAACGUGCAGUACCCCGCCCGGGCCGAGGGCGAGAGCAGGCAGGUGGGUGGAGCGCUUGGAGAGGCGGGAGAGCCCGGGUCCUGGGUUCCAGCCCGGGCCGCGAGCCCCGGCGCCCCUCUUUCCGAUCCGGGUGUUUUCAAACUUGGGAACCUGCCUUGAAGCCUGACUAAAUUGUCCGGGUUGGAGCUCAGGAUGACUGGCCCAUGUCUUGCUCUGUGAAAUUACACAUGUCAUUUCUCACUUGUCCGUUCAAGAAACACCGUGGAGGACCUUCUGUCUGCUUGAGAUUUUGAAAUUAUGGAGCUGACACUUCAGAUUAGAAAAUAACAAAGAAGGAAGCCACCAAAUGGAAGCAUGGAAGGCUUUGCAGAAGAAUUGAUGUUUGAUAUGGGUUCUGACAGAUGAAAAGGAGCUCCCUGGGUGGUGUCAGUUCAUCUUCUAUAAGAUAAGGUGGUUAGACUAGGUCUACAUGGAGGACCCAUUUAAUCCUAAUAGAUUCUGUGGUUAUAACCUGCCCGUAAUCAACUUUUUCUUCUCUGUGUGUCCCUCCAGGGAGUUGAGAGACCACCAUGGACUUUCUGUCAUCAUUCUUUAUUUUGUUAGCUGAAGCAAUCCAAAUUGAGCUGCUGGUCUUGAGUCUCCCAGUUGUGUUUGGAGGCCAAAGCAUCAUCAUGUUAACCAGUCUGUAACCUUCUUAGGGAAUGGUCUCUUGGGCUCAUAGAUUUAUUUCCAUCCAUCUAGUUCCCAAGGCAUUUUACUUAGUAACUGUAGCUAUACCAAGCUAUACCAAGGCCCAGCCUUGGUAAUAAAGCCCAUUUGCUCAUCAAAA